GCAAAGUUCGAGGACACGCCAGCGAAAGCUGGUGACUCGAUCCAAAAAGUCAACGCUUUAGGUGUUCGACUUACGGAUCUUUGAAAACUUAGGUUGAACGUGCCAGUCGUGAGAUGACCAUGAAGUAGUGUUAAGUCAUUCUCACAAGGUAAAUCCCUGCAGGCUUCGAGCCUUGCAGGGUGGCAAUCUAUCUCGACCUCCGUCGGGUAUAGAUUGCAAACAGUUUCAAACGAGAGUUUGAUCCUGGCUCAGAAUCAACGCUGGCGGCGUGCCUAACACAUGCAAGUCGCACGAGAAAGGGGAGCAAUCCCUGAGUACA
rnacentral:rRNA from 1 species